rnacentral:misc_RNA from 1 species
UUUGUUGCUGAUUUGCUUAUUGCUGCUGAUGGUUGUCUGUCUUCAAUCAGACAACAUUUCCUUCCUGACCUUAAGCUGAGAUAUUCAGGUUACUGUGCGUGGAGAGGGGUUCUUGAUUUUUCCAAAAAGAAGCACUCAGAAGCCAUUAUCAACCUUAAGAAAGUGUAUCCAGAUCUUGGAAAAUGCCUGUACUUUGACCUGAGCUCUGGAACUCAUAGCGUAUUUUAUGAAUUAUUGAACCAUAGGUUCAAUUGGAUAUGGUACAUUAAUCAGCCCGAACCAAACCUCAAGGGGAAUUCUGUGACGAUGAAGGUUAGUGAAAACUUGGUUCAAAACAUGCAUGAAGAAGCUGAAAAGGCUUGGGUUCCUGAAUUGGUCAGAGUAAUUAAAGAAAUUAAGGAGCCUUUCCUAAAUGUAAUAUAUGAUUGUGAUCCUCUGGAGCAGAUUUUUUGGGACAAAGUGGUGUUGAUUGGAGAUGCAGCUCAUCCUACUACUCCUCAUGGUUUGAGAAGUACAAACAUGUCGAUACUGGAUGCAGCUGUUUUAGGCAAAUGCUUAGAGAAGUGGGAAGUGGAAAAUCUGAACUCUGCCCUUGAAGAAUACCAGUCUAUUAGGCUGCCAGUAACUACGAAGCAGGUUCUAUAUUCAAGGAGACUAGGUCGUAUUAAACAAGGUUUAUCACUUUCAGAUCAUUCGUCCUUUGAUCCAAAAGCUACAAGUCCAGAAGAUUGUGAAGAGCUUCAGCAGAAAAACAUGCCUCAUUUCUACGAUAUUCCUUCGAUAUUGAACUGAUGUCACUGGUUUUUAUCUUGGCCGGGUUAUUAAAGCAAUGUUGGAUGCUUAAUUGAGACGAGCAUUUUGUGUAUAUGUCCAUCUCGCAAAUGACUAUUCUGGUGCACAAACAUAUAGCAGGCCAGUGUUAUUGUUGUUGUAUCUGUAUAGAAAUCAUGAAUGUAGUAUAGUGAGAAUAAAGUUCAUACUUG